rnacentral:lncRNA from 1 species
CAGAGAACACGUGUCCCCAAAAUUUUUACAUGUGUUCAACCCUUGGGAGUUGAUUAGUCCUUGGCACUGUCAAAUUUUUCCUCUGUGUAUUUAAAAAGGUUCAUCUGUAACUCAAAUCAUCUCUUGGUUCAUGUCUGAAAAAUUAUUAGGCCAGAUAAACUUGAUGUCCAAUGUAUUAGCAAUAUAUGCAAGUAUGGAUUGAAGAUAUAAAAUCAUUCUAUGAGUACUAAGAGUUUGAUCUAAUGAUUGUGAUUUCUGAAUUUUCUGACAGAUUCCUUCGAGGUGAGAUGCAAGACACGUGGAGAGGAGGGAACCACUAGAUCAGGUUAAAGUGGGGAGGAAAAAAACAAACCCAGAACCAUCAUUGACUGGGUAGGUUUUUCAAGAUGAAUCGUGCUUUUAGCAGGAAGAAAGACAAAACAUGGAUGCACACUCCUGAAGCCUUAUCAAAGCAUUAUAUUCCCUAUAAUGCAAAGAACUUGUAGAAUUUAUUUACAUUGAGGAGAGGAAGAAUUUUGUGUCCAGCUUCAAUUGCUACAAGCUGAAUGCUCAAGAUUGCACA